AACGAACGCUGGCGGCAGGCCUAACACAUGCAAGUCGAACGUGAAGCCACCUUCGGGUGGUGGAAAGUGGCAGACGGGUGAGUAACGCGUGGGAACGUGCCUUUCGGUUCGGGAUAACCCAGGGAAACUUGGGCUAAUACCGGAUACGCCCUUCGGGGGAAAGGUUCAUUGCCGAAAGAUCGGCCCGCGUGGGAUUAGCUAGUUGGUGGGGUAAAAGCCUACCAAGGCGACGAUCCGUAGCUGGUCUGAGAGGAUGACCAGCCACACUGGGACUGAGACACGGCCCAGACUCCUACGGGAGGCAGCAGUGGGGAAUAUUGGACAAUGGGCGCAAGCCUGAUCCAGCCAUGCCGCGUGGGUGAAGAAGGCCCUAGGGUUGUAAACCCCUUUCAGCGGGGAAGAUAAUGACGGUACCCGCAGAAGAAGCCCCGGCUAACUCCGUGCCAGCCGCCGCGGUAA
rnacentral:rRNA from 1 species